UCUUGAUUUAAUCUAAGAAAAUGACUUACAAAUAAUCUCAACAUUCACCUCAAAACAUUUGACAACAGUCUGGGUGAGAGAGAGUUUGCCACACUGGGGUCAGGAACUAAUGGAAAGUGGGCAUGACUUUUUGUUAAGGCAUAAUUUAGAUGAGGAAGAAUUGUUUCUUCAUGAAGGCAGUUGGAAAGUAAGAAUAAGAUCUUUAGGAUACUGAGGCCUCUCGGGAAAAAUUUAGGAAAACUCAAAAUGAGGGUCUUUUUCCUGGUCGUAUUUUUCGACACCACCACAUCCUUGAAGUAAAAAUUGCGAGCGGGAAGUUGAACACUUGCAGAAAUUAUUUUACAGGUCUAAUUCUUUACGUCUUUUCUCAGCCACAACAUUUCAGAAAUCAAGUUCUAUUUGAUGAACUGCAGACUCCUAUUUUGAUAAAUAAGGCUACAACAAUACCAGCUAGCCAAGGUACCCAAACUUUGUUUACAUGUUUAAACAAAAAGCAAACUUAUGACCCAUCUUUUCAGAGCUGCUCAUGCUUGGCCAUUUUUAUUACAGAGACAUGAUCUUGGUAUUUACUAUUAAAAUAGAGUCUAAUUCUUAAGUAGUAUUAAAUGUGUUCUAAACUGGCUUUAGGUGGGUGGCGUUGGUAUUUUAAUUCUUAUUUCACAGAUGAGGAAACAGUUGUGUGAUUUUUGGUGGGGGGUGUUAAGUAAGAAAGACUGGAACUGUCAUUGGUCCACUGCUCAUGUCACAAGGUCUAGAGCUUGGGUCAUAUACCCUUCUAGGAGGUUUCCUCCCCAGAUGGGCCCACAACCUCAGAGGCAGAGGUCAGAGUGUCCUGGUCGUUGUCUAUCCUGACACUUCAUACUUUGUCACUUCUUGUUAAAUUCUGUCUUUGUCCUAGACUGAGUUCCACAGUGGCCCUGCACUGAUCACCACUGUGUGCCCACGCAUACGAAUUGUCCAAUUCAUUCAGGUUUCCAUUAUGGACACCUACUAUCAUCUGGUACUUUUCCAGGUACUGUGGGUGUGGUAGUUGACCUUAUGAAUUCAUCAUCUUAAAUGAUGAACAGGGUGAUUAGUAAAGUCAGGGUGGUUGAGAAAAGGAAGUAAACACGGGUUGAGAUAGGGAGUAUUAGGAAGAAGAAAAACCCCAAGUAAAUGGGAGGAAAAAGCAACAUUUACUGCAUGUCUUUAUAUACCAGGCAGUGGGCUAAUCAUUUCUGGGUAGGUUAUUUCUUCUUCACAGGUGAUUAAGAGUUCCAUUUCACAGAGCUCUGAGAGGGUAAGUUUCUUGCCUGAGGUUACUCAUCCAGUUUAAACAAAUUACAGAACUAAAAUUAAACUUUGUCUACUUCAGAGCCCCUUUUUUUCCCCACAUCCCUAUUAUGGCCACAGGACUUAGUUUAAAAAUAAUUAAUUUCUAAUCAAGUUCUUAAAAAUGGCAUUUUCAUCUAUACCCUAUGAUUUCAUGGUAGCAGAAAAAACAUCAAAUCUUGAUAGAAUACACCUAUUCUAGAAGAACAGUUGGUCCUAAGUCACUAGAAGGGUCCUAAUCUAUGUAACUCAUCAAUAAUGAUUAACCUAAAAUGUAUAAUGUAAGAAACAUUUAUACCUCAGAAAAUAAUUGAAAUAAUCUUUUGACAUUGUAACUCAGCAUGGAAAUUAAGGAAAUGCUAUUAUUAUCACAAACUUUGAUUAGAUUUUGCUCAGGAGUAUGUUAAGGAGUUUGGAUUCACUUAACUCUUCUGAGUCAGGGGAUUUAAUUUAUAAUUCCCAAAGACCAUGAUAUGAAAGGCAAGGAAAAGUAUAUGGGGUCAGAACAACAUAAUGUAGAGUUCAGUGUUUUAUAGUGGACCGAGGAAAAGCAGACUAACAGAGAAAGUGCCUUUGGUGAAUCUAACUUCAAAAGUUUAAGGUGAGUCUGGACUUUUUACUGCCCAUUUCAUAAAUCCGUACAAGUUCCCUGAAUUUAUCUUUCUGAAUUGGUUAGCAUUUUUGGAUGGAUACGUAUGUAUAUAUUGAACACCUACAUAUAUUUAUUUAUCCAACUAGGACAACUCCAUUUAUGAAGCCAUUUUUAAAGAUGACCCGGUAAAGAUGAGGGUGAGCCAGGCAUAAAAAGUUCAAACAGCAACCAGGUGGAAAAUAAAUUCUGGGAUGCUAUGUUUAAUAGGUAGAUAUUGCGACGUGACCUCUGUGUUCUUCAGAUACCUAGGCUGGGCACGGGGUGGAAAGCUUUAAGGUGAAGUCUCAUAAACAUGACUGUGGUAGCCAGUUGUAGCUUAAAAUAGCCAAAUGAAAAAAAAAAUCAGUCUUGCUUUUCAAGACUGACUGAAACAGGUGGAAUAAAAGAAGCUGUAGCUGGCAAAGUGCAAGUCUUGAUUGGAAGAACUUUCAGGCAGUUAGAAAAGAAAGUGUAGGACGGCAAAAUGUGGAAAGAAGUUCUAGCUCAAGAAAUUUACCGUUUUUCCUUCAAAAGACUAUUCCUCUUUUAAAACUGUGAGGAAUAGUCUGGUGAGCUACUACAGUUUAUGUUAAAUCUAAAACUUCUCUAAAAACGUGGAAAGCACACAAUUUAGUAUUAAUAGCCAAGUUUUUACGUAUUUACUGUUUUUAGGGUUUCAGGGUGUGUGUAACUUCAAGGGAUGCCUUAAAGUUUUAUAACAAUUGAAAAGCAAGAUUAGGUAAAUUUCAAAAUAGACUUGGAAGAGAGUAAAGGGUAAGAAAAAGUGCAGGCAGUUCUCAGAAGGAGUCAAGAUUCCUGCUUAGGAGAGCCCUUGCUGGUCUGUUUGAUAAGGCUGUGAAGAUGUCUCUCGUAGCUCCUACAAGUUGUCAAUGUUGCAAAAUCCUACAAAAAUGUUGGUACCACACAGAACGGUUUCCCUGGGACAUUAGUCCAUGUGCAACCAUGGCCCAUAGGAGUCACAUGUUUCCUGAGAAGGGAUGCUAGAGUAAUCCCUUGGCAUCACCUCCCUUCUCUUAUUUGCUUAGUGUCAGCCUGUGUCCCAGAAGAUUUUCUCUAUUUCUAGAAGAUCAAUAUCCAGGGUGAUCCUGAGAAUGGGUCCAAAUCUAUUGGAAUAUUUGUGAACUAUUUUAUGCUUUAGCAACUACAGUGUUGAAACCGUAAUAACCAUUGUUUUUUGAGCACCUAUCCAGGUGCUAGGCUCUGUGCUAAGAACUGUGGAAGGAAGCACUAACUCAGUUAAUCUCCUCAACAACACUAUGAUACCAGUGGAGACGAGCAACUCACAGAACAGACCGUAUCUAUGAAUCCUGAGGGACUCUUCCCCCACCCCAGGGAUUCAUAUGAGGAAGAAGUCAGAUACAGGCCACCACACGACAUCAAACAACAUUCAGCACGUGUCAUCCACCAACACUGAGAGGUUACUUGCUACAGUUGGCAUGGAGGCCCUGAACAGAUACGGCAGAUGGUAACAGCAGGGUAUGCACCUAGUUCCUCACAGGUGAGCCGUGGAGGGCUGGGUAUGGGCAGAAGCAGUGCCAUGAAGACUCCCCCAAACAAAUGUCUGCAAGGACCGGGCGGAUAGCAAAUGCUUUAUGGCAACGUCAGAAGUCAUUAAAUAGAAAUCAGAUAUUUUCUGUGGAGACUGCCAAUCAGUAAAGAUUGGAAGAUUCUAAACAGAUUAUAUAAGUGGUAGCAGGAUUACUUUUAUAUUCUAUGUGGAAAGAACACCCGUUUCCUACAGGACUUCAGAGUCCCAUCCUUAAAAACACUGCUACUUCUUUGAACGUAGCCAUGGCGCUCUUGUCUGCAGGCUGUGGUACGUCCAUUCCACUGCCUUGCACAGGGCUGGCUCUUAGCACACGCUUGUGGAACCGAAUAUACUGAAAUGAGUAAGCGGUAAGAAUAACCAAACUCAUGAAUUAUUAAUUUCAUGUCAACUAAUAGAUCAUUUUUAAAUAUUUUAAAAUAUUUUUUAAAAUAUUUGAGAGAGAGAGAGAGAAAGAGCACACAAGCAGGGGGAGGGGGAGAGACAGGAGAGAGAGUACCAAGCAGGCACUGUGCUGUCAGCACAGAGCCCGACAUGGGGCUCGAACUCAUGAACCAGGAGAUCAUGAACCAAGCCAAAAUCAAGAGUCAGAUGCUUAACUGACUGAGCCACCCAGGCAUCCUGUAUUUCCCUUUUGCUAUGAAAACAGUUACUCUGAAUUCUGGGUUUUGGAAAGUGAGUUUAGAAGUCAUCUGUUUCAGGAUACUUCCCUUUUCUUAACCAAAAAUACUACAUAUUAAUGAUAAGCAUAGACCAUUAAAUAAUGAAAAUAUGCUUUGAUUUCUAAAGAUUUAUCAUUCAUACCACAAAUGUGACCUUAGUUAACCCUGGCUCAUAAUAACCUAAAGACUUCACUUUUACUUUAAAUAAUAUACAGAGUGUAUGUGUGUGCACAUACAUGCUAUUAUGGACUGAAUGUAUGUGUCUCCUGCAAUUCAUAUGCUGAAGCUCCAACCCCCAAUGUGUUCGUAUUUGGAGGUGCGGCUUUUGGGAGGUAAGUAGGUUUACAUUAGGUUAUGAAGGUAAGACCUUCAUGAUAGUAUUAGUGCCCUUAUUAUUAUUAUUAUUAUUAUUAUUAUUAUUUUUGGUUUAUUUAUUUGGAGAAAGGGACAGGAGAGCAUGGGCAGGGAAGGGGCAGAAAGAGAGGGAGAGAGCAUUCCAAGCAGGCUCCACACAGUCAGCAUUGAAGCUCCACGUGGGGCUCAACCCCAUGAACCACAAGAUCAUGACCUGAGAUGAAAUCAAGAGUCAGACAUUCAACUGACAGAGCCACCCAGGCACCCCAGUGCCCUCAUUAAAGAGGAAGAGAAACCACAGUUCUCUCUCUCUCCAUACACAUGUACCCAGGAAAGCCAUGUGAAGAGAGGGAGAAGAAGGCCAUCUGUAAGCCAGGUCGAUGGCUCUCUACCAGAACUCAACCAUACUGGCACUGUGAUCUUGGACUUCCAGCUUCCAGAACUGUGAGAAAUAAAUGUCUGUUGCUUAA